AACAAGGCAGCUCUCCGAGGAACGGGCUUUCUGCAUGACGCCGCGCGGCAGGGAGCCUGGCCCAGGCCUAUGGGGUCACGAGGACCGCCGACCACCGUGAGCCCCGGGGAGACGGCUGCAGCAAAACUGAAAUCCUGGGGUCCCGCUUGCAUCCUGUGCAAAACUCAUGAAUAUAUUUGGCCAUGGCUCCUUCUAGAGAACUGCGGCACACAGAUGGCGAUUUCAGUUCCUGGAGAAGGGGGAGGACCCGGAGCAAGAAGGACAGCAGCACCACAGACCAGAACUCUCUCUGCUGAGUCCCAGCCCACACGCUAACUGUCCACCUAGCAGCUGCCUUUGGAUGUCCCUGACUGCCUCGAACUCAACACACCAGAACUGGACUCAUCAGCGCCUCCUGUGGCCUCCCAUUUGCAGCAGCCAAGCAGGUUUACUGCUACCCAGCGUCUAUGCACCCCAGGACUGAACAGGCCUAGAUCUGGUGAGAAGACACCCCCGCUCCUUUGGGCCCUGUGGUUUGGAGUCCCAGCCCACCCCACCACCAGUCUGAGUACAGCAGUGACCUAGGCCAAGAACAUUCCACACAGCUCGGUACUUCCGGGUUAGCACAGAGCCAAAUGGGCCCAGUCACAGCUGAUGCAGGGGUUUGGUCUGAAUGAACUCAGAGAUGACCCCCCUUCCCUGAUCGAUUCGAGACCCCAUAAAGUGAA